rnacentral:rRNA from 1 species
GAAUCCGCCAAGGAGUGUGUAACAACUCACCUGCCGAAUGAAUUAGCCCUGAAAAUGGAUGGCGCUAAAGCGGGCAGCCGACACCACAUCGUUUGGGCAAAGUGGUUUUCCAAAUGAGUAGGAGGGCGUGGCGGUCGUAUCGAAGCGUAUGUGCGAACGUGCGUGGAACGGCCGCUAGUGCAGAUCUUGGUGGUAGUAGCAAAUAUUCAAGCGAGAUCCUUGAAGGGCGAAGCGGGGAAGGGUUCCACGCGAACAUUGAUUGAGUGUGGGUGAGUCGUUCCUAAGCCGAGUGGUUGUUCUAAUUACCGGCGAAAGGGAAACGGGUUGAAAUUCCCGUACACGGAUGUGGAGGCGGUGACGCACGUCUGAGGCGAAGAAGUUGGCGGUGGCUCUGGGCAGAGUUUUCUUUUCUGUUUAACCAAGCUUGUUGUACUGUGUGGAAUCCGAUUGUCGGGAGAAACACGUAUAUGCGGGCAUAGCACCGGGGUUUUACCGGUGUCCAGAUCGCUAUCGACAAACCUUGAAAAUUCGUCUGCUGGGCAAAGCUUUUUUUAAAGUUUUGUUGGAAAAAUCCACGCCGUAACGUACCGAUAACCGCAUCAGGUCCCCAAGGUGAACAGCCUCUGCUCAAUAUGAUUAAUGCAGGUAAGGGAAGUCGGCA